rnacentral:rRNA from 1 species
GACAGAGGUCCCGAGCGUUAGGCGGAAUCACUGGGCUUAAAGCGUGUGUAGGCGGAGUGCUAAGUACCUUGUGAAAUCCCACGGCUCAACCGUGGAACUGCUUGGUAUACUGGUUCUCCUGAGCCACCUAGGGGCAACCGGAACAAACGGUGGAGCGGUGAAAUGCGUAGAUAUCGUUUGGAACGCCAAUGGUGAAAACAGGUUGCUGGGGGUGUGCUGACGCUGAGACACGAAAGCCAGGGGAGCAAACGGG